rnacentral:rRNA from 1 species
CCUACGUGCGGCAGCAGUGAGGAAUAUUGGUCAAUGGGCGGGAGCCUGAACCAGCCAAGCCGCGUGAAGGAAGAAGGCGCCAGGCGUCGUAAACUUCUUUUGUCCGGGGACAAAGGGCGCCACGUGUGGCGUUGUGAGUGUACCCGAAGAAAAAGCAUCGGCUAACUCCGUGCCAGCAGCCGCGGUAAUACGGAGGAUGCGAGCGUUAUCCGGAUUUAUUGGGUUUAAAGGGUGCGUAGGCGGUCCGGAAAGUCAGCGGUAAAAGCCCGGGGCUCAACCCCGGCAAGCCGUUGAAACUGGCGGACUAGAGAGGGCGAGACGUAUGCGGAAUGCGCGGUGUAGCGGUGAAAUGCAUAGAUAUCGCGCAGAACUCCGAUUGCGAAGGCAGCGUACGGGCGCGGGACUGACGCUGAGGCACGAAGGCGUGGGUAUCGAACAGGAUUAGAUACCCGAGUAGUC